rnacentral:rRNA from 1 species
AGAGUUUGAUCAUGGCUCAGAUUGAACGCUGGCGGCAGGCCUAACACAUGCAAGUCGAACGGUAACAGGAAGCAGCUUGCUGCUUCGCUGACGAGUGGCGGACGGGUGAGUAAUGUCUGGGAAACUGCCUGAUGGAGGGGGAUAACUACUGGAAACGGUGGCUAAUACCGCAUAACGUCGCAAGACCAAAGAGGGGGACCUUCGGGCCUCUUGCCAUCAGAUGUGCCCAGAUGGGAUUAGCUAGUUGGUGAGGUAACGGCUCACCAAGGCGACGAUCCCUAGCUGGUCUGAGAGGAUGACCAGCCACACUGGAACUGAGACACGGUCCAGACUCCUACGGGAGGCAGCAGUGGGGAAUAUUGCACAAUGGGCGCAAGCCUGAUGCAGCCAUGCCGCGUGUAUGAAGAAGGCCUUCGGGUUGUAAAGUACUUUCAGCGGGGAGGAAGGUGUUGUGGUUAAUAACCACAGCAAUUGACGUUACCCGCAGAAGAAGCACCGGCUAACUCCGUGCCAGCAGCCGCGGUAAUACGGAGGGUGCAAGCGUUAAUCGGAAUUACUGGGCGUAAAGCGCACGCAGGCGGUCUGUCAAGUCGGAUGUGAAAUCCCCGGGCUCAACCUGGGAACUGCAUUCGAAACUGGCAGGCUUGAGUCUUGUAGAGGGGGGUAGAAUUCCAGGUGUAGCGGUGAAAUGCGUAGAGAUCUGGAGGAAUACCGGUGGCGAAGGCGGCCCCCUGGACAAAGACUGACGCUCAGGUGCGAAAGCGUGGGGAGCAAACAGGAUUAGAUACCCUGGUAGUCCACGCCGUAAACGAUGUCUACUUGGAGGUUGUGCCCUUGAGGCGUGGCUUCCGGAGCUAACGCGUUAAGUAGACCGCCUGGGGAGUACGGCCGCAAGGUUAAAACUCAAAUGAAUUGACGGGGGCCCGCACAAGCGGUGGAGCAUGUGGUUUAAUUCGAUGCAACGCGAAGAACCUUACCUGGUCUUGACAUCCACGGAAGUUUUCAGAGAUGAGAAUGUGCCUUCGGGAACCGUGAGACAGGUGCUGCAUGGCUGUCGUCAGCUCGUGUUGUGAAAUGUUGGGUUAAGUCCCGCAACGAGCGCAACCCUUAUCCUUUGUUGCCAGCGAUUAGGUCGGGAACUCAAAGGAGACUGCCAGUGAUAAACUGGAGGAAGGUGGGGAUUACGUCAAGUCAUCAUGGCCCUUACGACCAGGGCUACACACGUGCUACAAUGGCGCAUACAAAGAGAAGCGACCUCGCGAGAGCAAGCGGACCUCAUAAAGUGCGUCGUAGUCCGGAUUGGAGUCUGCAACUCGACUCCAUGAAGUCGGAAUCGCUAGUAAUCGUGGAUCAGAAUGCCACGGUGAAUACGUUCCCGGGCCUUGUACACACCGCCCGUCACACCAUGGGAGUGGGUUGCAAAAGAAGUAGGUAGCUUAACCUUCGGGAGGGCGCUUACCACUUUGUGAUUCAUGACUGGGGUGAAGUCGUAACAAGGUAACCGUAGGGGAACCUGCGGUUG